rnacentral:misc_RNA from 1 species
GCGGGACAUAAGCUGAGAGCUUGCGAAACGAGGAAGGGUUGAUAGGGCAGGAAUUGAGGAGGAGAGUGCCAGUUGUUGGGGAAGUGCGUGCGGCUAAAAUGUCUAGGAGAGAGGAUUUUCCAGCUCCACUGGGGCCAACAAUGGCAAGGAUUUGAGAUGGACAGGCUGCGAAAGACACAUCCUGAAGAAUAUAAGUUGGUGGGGUUGCAGUGCAGGGUUUGAAGAGAAAGAAUGGCACAAUGCUUUUAGUUAUGGUAGUAGAUUUCACAUAGCAGACUGAUGAGGCUGUUAAUUUAUAUGUCUUAAGUGAGGUCGGUGGUGAAGA